UGACGCUGCGCCCGAGCGGCUCCGGCAGCGGAAACCUCCGCGCCGUUCUUCCACCAGUGUUGUCUUUCGAAACAGUGACGUUUUCCAAGGUAGCCUUGACUGGCUCUGAAUCAGGUUUUGGGGGUGCUUUUCCUUGUGCUAUGUCACGGCAAAUAAGGACAAAUUGCAACAUAGCCUGGCAAAUCCAGGUUCUGCUGUGUACAUAUGAUUUUUAAUUUCAAGAUAUUUUUCUUCUUUCGUUUUGCCUCUGGAUAAACACCGCCAAAGAAGGAGGGGCAAGGAGAGAGAGCCAGGGAAAGAGUCAGGGGUUUGUUCACCACUAACAGUGGCAGCUUGGCUAACUGGAGCUGCAGCUGACUGUGCAAAGUCCUUCCACAGCUUCUCUGCUACACCCUGAGCAGCAGGGUGAGGCCGUAUUCUCAAGCAAGGUGAAGAAUUGGGAGAUGUGUAAAACAAAGUCAUUGCCCUUUGGUGAAGGGUGAGCGGCAUGGAAAGAAAAAAAAUAAGAAAACAUGAGCAAAGUAUGGAGAAACCCGAGGAGAGCAUCUCUGGAUUGCAACUGAAGGCUCCAUGGGCGUUUCAGGAACACAAGUUAUGCAUAUUUACCUGAAGAGACAUUUAACCUUUAUUUUGAAGGACUGCUGUUGCAAUUCUGGAAAACUAUCCUGAACAAAGCGAGGAAAACAUUUAUGAAAAAUCCAGUGAGUAUUAUUUUGGUCAAUCUUUUGCAAUUCUAACCAAAACACAUCUGAGCAUUGAAAGAGAAUCUAAAGGUGUGUUGAAGAAGGACAAAGGGGGAAGAUGGUUGAGUGGUUUAGCAAAAGGUGAGGUGGUAGGAGAUCUUUUUUCUGGCUGUUUGCUUAGUUCCUCCAGCACACCCUUCUGCAAAUUUCUUAGUAACUUCCUUCUCCCCUGGCGUGGAGAACACGAAGUGUAAAUGUAUUUAAAUCAUGAGAGCAGUUUGGGGGUGCUGGGAGGUGCAGACACACCAAACCCAUCUGGUUUUGGGCCGCCAAUUCCCGGGGCAGGGAGAGCACAGGGAGAGAGCUCUGCUGCAGCAAGGUGUUCUGGGGCAAGAGGAGGGCUGGUCCCAGUUUGAGUGAGUGUCCCACUCCUGAGUGUCCCUGCUCCCAGGGCACCUCCUGAGUGUCCCACUCCUGAGUGUCUGUCACAGCUCCUGAGUGUCCCAGCUCCUGAGUGUCCCUGCUCCCAGAGCACCUCCUGAGUGUCCCACUCCUGAGUGUCCCACUCCUGAGUGUCCCAGCCCCUGAGUGUCCCACUCCUGAGUGUCCCAGCCCCUGAGU